CACGAAGUUAGCCGGUGCUUAUUCUUUGGGUACCGUCAUCCCAACCGGGUAUUAACCAGCUGGAUUUCUUUCCCAACAAAAGGGCUUUACAACCCGAAGGCCUUCUUCACCCACGCGGUAUGGCUGGAUCAGGCUUGCGCCCAUUGUCCAAUAUUCCCCACUGCUGCCUCCCGUAGGAGUCUGGACCGUGUCUCAGUUCCAGUGUGGCUGAUCAUCCUCUCAGACCAGCUACGGAUCGUCGCCUUGGUGGGCCUUUACCCCGCCAACUAGCUAAUCCGACAUCGGCUCAUUCAAUCGCGCAAGGCCCGAAGGUCCCCUGCUUUCACCCGUAGGUCGUAUGCGGUAUUAGCGUAAGUUUCCCUACGUUAUCCCCCAGACAGAGUAGAUUCCGAUGUAUUCCUCACCCGUCCGCCACUCGCCACCCGUAAGAGCAAGCUCUUACUGUGCUGCCGUUCGACUUGCAUGUGUUAGGCCUACCGCCAGCGUUCACUCUGAGCCAGGAUCAAACUCU
rnacentral:rRNA from 1 species